rnacentral:tRNA from 1 species
GGGAGAGUGGCCGAGUGAUCACAAGCAACAGACUGUAAAUCUAUUGAAGUUUUUCUACAUAGGUUCGAAUCCUGCCUCUCUUU